UACGUAGGGGGCUAGCGUUGUCCGGAAUCAUUGGGCGUAAAGCGCGCGUAGGCGGCCAGAUAAGUCCGGUGUGAAAGCCACAGGCUCAACCUGUGAAUGCCGCUGGAAACUGUCUGGCUAGAGUCCGGGAGGGGCGAGUGGAAUUCCUGGUGUAGCGGUGAAAUGCGCAGAUAUCAGGAGGAACACCAAUAGCGAAGGCAGCUCGCUGGGACGUUACUGACACUGAGGCGCGAAAGCGUGGGGAGCGAACAGG
rnacentral:rRNA from 1 species